CUUGAUGGUAGCUGUGCGUAGGGCGUCUUCGGGCGCGCCGGCUUCGACAUUUCCCGGUCUACUAACCUGCGUACAGCUGCCACCCUA
rnacentral:antisense_RNA from 1 species